GACGAACGCUGGCGGCGUGCCUAAUACAUGCAAGUAGAACGCUGAAGAGAGGAGCUUGCUCUUCUUGGAUGAGUUGCGAACGGGUGAGUAACGCGUAGGUAACCUGCCUGGUAGCGGGGGAUAACUAUUGGAAACGAUAGCUAAUACCGCAUAAUAUUAAUUAUUGCAUGAUAAUUAAUUGAAAGAUGCAACUGCAUCACUACCAGAUGGACCUGCGUUGUAUUAGCUAGUUGGUGAGGUAACGGCUCACCAAGGCGACGAUACAUAGCCGACCUGAGAGGGUGAUCGGCCACACUGGGACUGAGACACGGCCCAGACUCCUACGGGAGGCAGCAGUAGGGAAUCUUCGGCAAUGGGGGGAACCCUGACCGAGCAACGCCGCGUGAGUGAAGAAGGUUUUCGGAUCGUAAAGCUCUGUUGUAAGAGAAGAACGGGUGUGAGAGUGGAAAGUUCACACUGUGACGUAUCUACCAGAAAGGACGG
rnacentral:rRNA from 1 species